AUUGAACGCUGGCGGCAUGCUUUACACAUGCAAGUCGAACGGGGUGGGGGGCAACCCUCAUUCAGUGGCGAACGGGUGAGUAAUGCAUCGGAACGUAUCCCGUAGUGGGGGACAACGCCGCGAAAGCGGCGCUAAUACCGCAUAUGCUCUACGGAGGAAAGUGGGGGACCUGAGAGGGCCUCACGCUAUGGGAGCGGCCGAUGUCCGAUUAGCUAGUUGGUGGGGUAAUGGCCCACCAAGGCGACGAUCGGUAGCUGGUCUGAGAGGAUGAUCAGCCACACUGGGACUGAGACACGGCCCAGACUCCUAUGGGAGGCAGCAGUGGGGAAUCUUCCGCAAUGGACGAAAGUCUGACGGAGCAACGCCGCGUGAGUGAAGAAGGUUUUCGGAUCGUAAAGCUCUGUCUUCAGGGACGAAUGUGCAGGAUGUAAAUAAUGUCUUGUAAUGACGGUACCUGAGGAGGAAGCCACGGCUAACUACGUGCCAGCAGCCGCCGUAAGAC
rnacentral:rRNA from 1 species